rnacentral:tRNA from 1 species
GGCGGUGUAGCUCAGCUGGUCAGAGCGUGCGGUUCAUACCCGCGAGGUCGGGGGUUCAAAUCCCUCCACCGCUA